CUUGAUUUCCAGAUCCCUCCAAUCUGUCCGCUGUCCCCGCGUGCAGUCUCUCCGCCUCUCCAUCCAGAGCAGGAAAGUGGGUCGAUCGAUGGCGUAGCGGCGAUCCUGGCGACGGCAUGCGGGGAUCGGCGGGUCCGAGAGUACUCAAGGAUCCAGAUCCUGAAAUAGAUGCCCAACUCUCCUGGCCUACUAAAAAGAAGGGACACAGGUCGUUUCAUCUGUUAACAGUUAACAGAUAAGCUUCUUCUCCUCCAUUUAUCUCACAAAGUGGGUUCUUGCAAAGGAUGAGGGGUCUCCUGAAAUGGCUGAGGUGGACUUCCAUGAAUUGAUGUAGCUUGUUCCUCAUCCAUAUUUCAAGGCUUGGCUUCAAACCUUCUUCAACUAUGUAUCAGAGAGCUGAGUUUCACAUACAAGGUUUGCCCAACAUUGAAGCUCCCUUCAAGGUUUCAGAGCUCUUGAAGUGCAACCCAACAUUAGGGCUUCUUUAAAGUUUCAAUUGAACUUGUCCUUUAGACUAUAGUAUCAUUAAAGUUUUAGAGUUUGGUUUUACAGUUAUGAAACUUCCUUCAGUCAUGUUUCAUAGCUCAGUUUCAACUUUGAAUUAAUGCUUCAGUUAUUUUCUUCUUAAAA